rnacentral:lncRNA from 1 species
ACCGGACUAGAGUGGAUCCCCAUAAAAUGAGUGAAGCCAUAAUAUGAGUUAGAGACUACUGAAAAAGCCCCUCCUGAUGAUGAAGGACCUGUCAUUGGAGAAUCGACCAAAACUGACAGUGAUAACUUGGAAGGCACCUGACAUUACCUGGGGACAGCUAAAGAAACUGGACCAACAGGGAACUAUCUGGCUUGCAUCUAUGGGAGCCCCUGAAACUGCAGAGAACCAGUUUCUUAUGUAUCUGAUGGUAAUUGGGGGAGCUUCUGAGAAGGCAUCUGCAAAUGGCUCUGUGCUGCCACUCAACCAACUAUGACCAGGGAAGAAUGAUAGAAGCUUACUUUGCAUUGGAUAAUCCGCAUGUUCUAAGAAUUAAAGAAGGGGGAAAUGUGAGGGGUGUAUGACAAUACAUUCAAGCUUAUGUACAAGGCAUUUGAGGUUGAGGCAUGGAAAAAUACUGAGGCACUGUGUGUAUGUUGUUUGUGCAUGAAACUGUAAUUCCUUGACCCUGAAAAUAGGACAAGGAAUAGAAUUUGUAAUAAGGAGUGCUGAACACAGCCUCCUAAGAAUGUGGUUUGAGUGCUUUUAGAUGUUAUAAACAAGGCCAUAUGUGCCUCAUGACCCGACCCCAAAUAGCCACCUUGUAGAUGUUUCUUGUUUGUCUAAAUUGUAGUUCAACUAGCCUUCUCAAUAAAUACUUGGCAGAUGAAUCUUAAAGCAGCACUGUCUUGGAGGAGCUGCUCCCCUCCCUUUCAGCUGUAAUUGUCUGAAUACUUAUUUCUUGGUGUUCACUGCAGAGCAAGCUGCAGCACAGCUGCCGGCAUUUAUUCAUGCAAGAUUCCAGCUUGCUUAUCUAUGUCUGCAGCUCAAUUUUACAGGCUGCUCUUUGUUAAAACAAAAAAAACAAAACAAAACAAACAAA